UACGAAGGGGGCUAGCGUUGUUCGGAAUUACUGGGCGUAAAGGGCGCGUAGGCGGUGUGUCAAGUCAGGCGUGAAAGCCCCGGGCUCAACCUGGGAACAGCGCUUGAGACUGGCACGCUCGAGUUUCGGGAGAGGAUGGUGGAAUUCCCGAGUGUAGAGGUGAAAUUCGUAGAUAUUGGGAAGAACACCGAUGGGCGAAGGCAGCCAUCGUGGACCGACACUGAGCGCGAUGACGGCGGCGAAAAGCGUGGGGAAGCAAAUACGGGA
rnacentral:rRNA from 1 species